UCUUUAAUGGAGAGUUUGAUCCUGGCUCAGGACGAACGCUGGCGGCGUGCCUAAUACAUGCA
rnacentral:rRNA from 3 species